UCAGGCUUAACACAUGCAAGUCGACCGGUAACGCGGGGCAACUUGGUUAAGAGUGGCGACCGGGUGAGUAAUGCAUCUGAUCGUGCCCAGUAGUGGGGGAUAGCCCGGCGAAAGCCGGAUUAAUUCCGCAUCCGACGUAUGGGUGAAAGGGGGGGAUUGCAAGACCUCUCGCUAUCGGAGCGGCGGAUGUCAGAUUAGGUAGUUGGUGGGGUAAAGGCAUACCAAUCCGACGAUCUGUAGCUGGUAUGAGAGGAAGCCCAACCACAUUGGGA
rnacentral:rRNA from 1 species